ACUAGAUCAGUUGAAGAAAUGCCGUUUUGGUUUGUUUGUUGAAAACCUCGGACAGUACACAGCAGGAUAAGCCAACAGACUUCGUCUGAUGGAGGGAUCGAUACCUACUGUCUGUGGCAAGUCAGCAGAUGAGGGAAAUUGUCACCUGAGGGCCUGAAGAUACUGACUGUUGGCCUUGCAAACAGAGAAAGGACUCUGGACGAGAACACAUCCACAUUCAAUGCAGGAGAGCCACAAAUGCAUAUCCCUCAGGUCUGUGCAGCA
rnacentral:lncRNA from 1 species